rnacentral:misc_RNA from 1 species
UGCUGGGUUCUUCUGGCAUGGCUUGGAUUUGGGGGGGUCUGCAGGCUUUAAAGUCGGCUCCCCUGAAAAGGAUUAGCGGUAUCUGAGCAGACACGGCGUGAUAAUUAUCUAUGCUGUUGGCAUGCGCAAGAAUCCUGCUUCUAAACCCGAGUGUUGAAAAAUUUGACCUCAAAUCAGGUAGGACUACCCGCUGAACUUAA